GGAAUAGGCGCUCAGGUAAGUUGUUUAUUUAUUCAUUUUAUUGUUUACCUGAAAGACAGGUUUUUUUUUAAUACCCCAGAAGUACUAGGACUUCAUUUCUAUUUACUCCCAUGUCGCUAGAACAAGCUUAACAAUCAUAUGCAUAGCUGGUGUUGGCUUACAGCUAUCUUUCACCGUUUUAGUUUCUCAGUAACUUAUUGCUAUAAUCAGAUGUCAUGAAUGCCAAAGUUUCUACCUCAAUUCAACUUAUAUUAUUUUUGAAUCAUAAUUUGGAACAUUCAUACGAUUUUAUCUUUUUGAAUUGAGUCAUAUUCACGUGCAUAGACAUUUGGUUAAUUCCAAAUUCCAAGUGAAGAGAGCUUUCAUGAAUUUUGACAGAGACAUCAUUUACUGAAAUAUUGUAAAAAUGAGUGACUUGAUGGAUGGGAUUUUAUCUAUGAUUCAAUAACUUGGGGAAUUUUACAUUUUUUUUAUUCGAAAACUGUUUCUAAAUUUGGAUUACAUACCAAAUAAUGGAUUUUUUCACUUCCAUGGAUUUUACUUUUGGUUUUUUUCUUUCUCUAGUUUUAAUUAGAUUAUUGGAUUUUGGAAAA
rnacentral:misc_RNA from 1 species